rnacentral:lncRNA from 1 species
ACAAAGCCUGUUUGGUGGUCUCUUCACACGGACGCGCAUGAAACAUGUAAUACAAGGUUCUUGAGAACUUGGGCCUUUUUGACAUGACGGCUUUACUGAUGAAUAUCUCACUAGGAAGCUUAAGAUGCACAUGUGCCCUCUACAUCCUGUCUUCUCUCCCUACUGGAUGUCAAUCAGACAUCAGAAGGUGUCUGUGUCGAAGAUGCAGACCAUCUGUCAGCCUUGAUCUCUCGAUGACUUUAGGGACAGAGUCUCACACCCAUCCUCUCAACAGAAACCUCUGCAUCAAACUCUAACAUGAACAACAAAUAAACUUUUACUAUGUUGGCUACUGAACUUUGAGAGGUUAUACAUUACAGUAUUUAUUGACCCUUGUCUACUGUACUCACUCAACCCCACUCAACCCCACCCAGCCAGGUGAACUC